UACGGGGGGGGCAAGCGUUGUUCGGAAUUACUGGGCGUAAAGGGCUCGUAGGCGGCCAACUAAGUCAGACGUGAAAUCCCUCGGCUUAACCGGGGAACUGCGUCUGAUACUGGAUGGCUUGAGAUUGGGAGAGGGAUGCGGAAUUCCAGGUGUAGCGGUGAAAUGCGUAGAUAUCUGGAGGAACACCGGUGGCGAAGGCGGCAUCCUGGACCAACACUGACGGUGAGGAGCGAAAGCCAGGGGAGCAAACGGG
rnacentral:rRNA from 1 species